UCAGCUGUGCAAAUCAAGAGCAUCCCCAGGGGCUCCUGCAGAGCCCCCCCACUCCUGCCCUGAUCAAAGGAGCAGGAAGAGGUUGCACCGGGAAAGCCUCUCCCUGCUGCUGUCCCUGGCUCCAGCCUGUCUCCACAGCAGCUUUUAUGGGAGAGGGGAUGGGAUCACCAGCCUGCUGGGCUCCUCUUUAUUGCCAUUCCAGCUGGGAUGCACAGGAGGACCUUGUCCUGCGUUAUGCCCCAGUGAAAAAAAAAAACCAAACCAAACCCAAUCAAAGCCUUUAGGAAGGCUGUUAAAAGAGAAGGAAUUCCUCGUUUAAUUCCUAAUUAAAAGCACAGGAAUCCAGUUUUCCCAAGUGAAAUUAAAAGCACAGGAAUCCAGUUUUCCCACCAGGCAGGAGGGGAGCAUUGCCCUCUCGUGGGCUGAAGCUGCAGCUUUGCACCAUUCAGUCCUGAGCCAGAGUUUAAUUAGGCAGCAGUAAUGAGCUCCCUGUGCAGCACUGCCAGGUGAGCAGCCCUGAGCCUGGCAGGGGUUCCCAGGAGCUCUGCUGGGGCUCCUGUCCCAGUCCACCCAGUUUGCCACUGGGACACGCAGUGGAGACACACUGGGAGGCCACACUGGUUUGAACUUUGUAUUUUCUCCAUGAAACAUUUCUUUUCCUUUCCACUAGGGGUGGGAUAAAGACUCAGCAAGAGGUGAUCUCCUGUUUUUCCAUCCUUUUUUUCCCUCCCAGACAUUCAUUUGGAUGUCUCACCUUUGAAGGCAGGACUGAGUUCUUUGGAUCCUGGUGGUGCACAGGUUUUUCUUCCUCCUACAAACACAAAUAAAUAUACUUGCUGGAAGUGGGAAGAGGGAUGAGCAGCAGAUGGGAUGGAGGCAGCAGCCCAAGCCAGCCCCUGUUCCAGUGCCCAGCUGUGCCAGUGAAUUUCAGCUCCACCACCACAGGACUGUCAACAAACCAAACUGAGCCACAGCAGUGCUGAGCUCCC